CCUCUGGGUCCAACCUCCCAUCCGUGUCUAUCUGUACCCUGUUGCUUCGGCGUGGCCACGGCCCGCCGGAGACUAACAUUUGAACGCUGUCUGAAGUUUGCAGUCUGAGUUUUUAGUUAAACAAUCGUUAAAACUUUCAACAACGGAUCUCUUGGUUCCGGCAUCGAUGAAGAACGCAGCGAAAUGCGAUAAUUAAUGUGAAUUGCAGAAUUCAGUGAAUCAUCGAGUCUUUGAACGCACAUUGCGCCCCCUGGUAUUCCGGGGGGCAUGCCUGUCCGAGCGUCAUUGCUGCCCUCAAGCACGGCUUGUGUGUUGGGCUUCCGUCCCUGGCAACGGGGACGGGCCCAAAAGGCAGUGGCGGCACCAUGUCUGGUCCUCGAGCGUAUGGGGCUUUGUCACCCGCUCCCGUAGGUCCAGCUGGCAGCUAGCCUCGCAACCAAUCUUUUUAACCAGGUUGACCUCGGAUCAGGUAGGGAUACCCGCUGAACUUAAGCAUAUCAAUAAGCCCCGGAGGAA
rnacentral:rRNA from 1 species